rnacentral:lncRNA from 13 species
AGGUGCCAAGGCCGGGGCCCGGCUCGUCUGCACGAAGGCGAGCCCGGGCCCUGCGUUCCUGCACUUGCCCCGCGCCCGCCAGGGCCUCCCCAACGGCUCCCGGGCCCGCGCGCGGCCGCCGACGGGUUGGGGAAGAGGCCGGAGCCGGGACUGAGGUCUCCGGGAGGGUCUCCGCCAAGCCCCUCCAGCCCCAGGCUGGGAAGACGCGGGCAGGACGCGGCGCCAGGAGUACCCCCAUCCCGCCGCGGGAAACCCCCGAGCCCAAAGGAAGCGGAGCCCAAAGGUCUCGGCCCGCCCGGCGACCACGUGUCUCCGCACGCCAGCGAGGCGCGUCGCACACGUGCCCGGGGCCCGCCGCCCGCCGCCCACCCCGGCUCCCGCCCUCGCAACCUGCCUGCCUCCGCGACCCGGCCGGCCCUCACCUCAGAGCACCGGGGCGUCGCGGGCCAGCCCCAUAGGGAAGCGCAGUCACCGGAGCACAAGCCGCAGGAGCAGGAGCAGGAGCGCUCCGCCGCCCCCGCCGCGCCCGUCAGCGCCUGGCUCCCGCCCGCCAGAGACGCUGGCCCAAGGUGGCGCCGGAGCUGCAGGCAGAGGGGCGGCCGGCGGUGGCGGCAGCGGCCACGGGAGGGACUGACAAAGCCCCACGGCGCGCCGCUCCCUACUUAUAGUGCCGGCGGGUCACCAUGGAGACUCACCAGCUCAAACCAGCCGCGAUCGGUUCCGGCCGGGACGCCGCCGGGGGAGGGGCGGGGGCUCGGCGGCGGCCAACCCGGGCCCGCUUGGAGCUCGCGGGGCGCGAGCGGGCCGACGUCAGCGCCUCCGAGCGCCGCCCGCCGCACGCGUGCCCUCCGCCCCCGGCCUCGCGCCCCGCCCUCCCCACCCUGCGGCGGCACCGCCCCUCCCCGCCCUGCGGCGGCCGCGCCCGCUAGGAGCUGGUCCGCGCACGCGCACGACGCCUCAGGCCCUGGUGCCGCGGCAGCUGAAUGGCGGAGCCUACCUCUCCAGAGUUGUGCUUCCACCUGGCCUUCAGUACCUUGUGUCCGAGGGCGGAAAAGGGAAAUCGCCAGCCGAGGACCAGUGUGCUGGCCACGUGGGCCCCACCGGGCGGACUCUGGACCCUGCCGCCCGCCGCCCCGGUGCGAGGGACCUGGAAGUGAUCCCAGUGCCGCUCAGCUCCCACCGGCGAGGGAGCAGAGGCGCGGGAGGGAAGGGGCGUCCGGAGGUCGCCAGCACGGCGGAGGCAGGGUUGGCAGUCGCCUUCACGCCCGCGCGCUGGAAGUCUCGUCUUUGUAA